rnacentral:rRNA from 1 species
CCUACGGGGGGCAGCAGUGGGGAAUAUUGGACAAUGGGGGCAACCCUGAUCCAGCCAUGCCGCGUGUGUGAAGAAGGCCCUCGGGUUGUAAAGCACUUUCAGUGAGGAAGAACGCCUGGUGGUUAAUACCCAUCAGGAAAGACAUCACUCACAGAAGAAGCACCGGCUAACUCCGUGCCAGCAGCCGCGGUAAUACGGAGGGUGCGAGCGUUAAUCGGAAUUACUGGGCGUAAAGCGCGCGUAGGUGGCUUGAUAAGCCGGUUGUGAAAGCCCCGGGCUCAACCUGGGAACGGCAUCCGGAACUGUCAAGCUAGAGUGCAGGAGAGGAAGGUAGAAUUCCCGGUGUAGCGGUGAAAUGCGUAGAGAUCGGGAGGAAUACCAGUGGCGAAGGCGGCCUUCUGGACUAACACUGACACUGAGGUGCGAAAGCGUGGGUAGCAAACAGGAUUAGAUACCCUAGUAGUC